rnacentral:rRNA from 1 species
GAUGAACGCUGGCGGCGUGCCUAAUACAUGCAAGUCGAGCGAACGGACGAGAAGCUUGCUCCUCUGAUGUUAGCGGCGGACGGGUGAGUAACACGUGGAUAACCUACCUAUAAGACUGGGAUAACUUCGGGAAACCGGAGCUAAUACCGGAUAAUAUUUUGAACCGCAUGGUUCAAAAGUGAAAGACGGUCUUGCUGUCACUUAUAGAUGGAUCCGCGCUGCAUUAGCUAGUUGGUAAGGGAACGGCUUACCAAGGCAACGAUGCAUAGCCGACCUGAAAGGGUGAUCGGCCACCCUGGAACUGAGACACGGCCCAGACUCCUACGGGAGGCAGCAGUAGGGAAUCUUCCGCAAUGGGCGAAAGCCUGACGGAGCAAAGCCGCGUGAGUGAUGAAGGUCUUAGGAUCGUAAAACUCUGUUAUUAGGGAAGAACAUAUGUGUAAGUACCUGUGCACAUCUUGACGGUACCUAAUCAGAAAGCCACGGCUAACUACGUG